CACACACUUCCAGUGAUCCAGAAAACUCCCAAGAAGCCACGAAGCGGAAACUGGAAAGAGUCAAAGUGUCUCCAGAAAAACAAACUGCUCACAUUUCAGCGCAGAUCCGACAACAAGCAACACACAACACACACGCCCGCGUGCACACAACAACAACAACAACAACAAGGCUGGCACGCAGCGCACGUGCCGGCGCAAAAGCACAAGGAGCGCACAGGAAAUUGAUUUGCCCUCCUACCUUCCUCGUGCAUCCGCUGCAGACAGAAAGUGAGGUUCCUCCGCCAGCCCGGCAUGGUGAUGAAGGAGACGAGGAAGUGGAGGAGAGGUACAAAACCCUGAAUGCCUCUGAGGAGAGACCGACUGAAGCAAUCAGAAGAAGAACUGUGUGUCCACGUCUUGAAGAGCUGAAUGUUCCCCUCGCCCGAGUCUCCGUGGAGCUUCAGCGUACAUCGCCGUGACAUCACAGAUGAGGGGGUGGAACAGGAUCUUCUACAUUUAAUGACUGCGGAUUGAGGACAGCGUUCACCAGCACAAAGUGAGCUGCCCCCGAGGCGAAGGAAGAGCAGAUUCAAACACACAUCAGCAAUCGUAGUGCAAGAUGGCAAACACACACACACACACACAAAAUCACAUUCCCACACACUGGAUUCGUCCUUGAAGGCACUGACUCAGGUUUUACACACAUAUAAAGCCCUCCAAGCUGCAUUUAGUCAGGGGGUGAGUACAGCGUCAGUGUCAGGAACUCAGCUUCAUUAUAACACGUCAUCGAGGGCUUUUUAAUGAACAAGAACUUUUUGAAAUUGAGUUCAAAUAGCAGUCUGACACAAAGAUUCUCCUCCCAUGGCGCGCUUCCUCAAUGUCUCCAAGUGCUCGGGCUUCAUUACAUCGACAUGAACAGAGCAAGAACAAAGCAGGGUUAAUGGAAAAAGUCUUUGUAUUUAUUUCUUUGCUUUGUUAAUUUGAAUGAUGUUAUUGACUCUCUGUUGUUUGUGAUCAUCAGCCUGUCUUCACAGUUAACCCACUUUUGGCCAGUCCACCAUUUUGAUUCAGACUCAAACAAACGAUGGCAGCGUACGUUUCUUGAUGUUGCAACUUUAUGUGUCUUUAGGUCCAAUAUUAGGCUCAGGAAACUAUCAUGUUUUGGCUUUAAAUGCCUGGUAUUGUCCCAACAUCUCAUCGAAAAUAUCAGGUUUUGUUACGACAAAGUGGUCCGUCUGCCAUCUUCUCCGUGUCUCGACGAGAUCAGCCAACAUACAUGGAAAAUGAUAGUGAUGCAUAUUUCAGGUGUUGACCUCAGUUACUCCACAACUGGUGCACAUAUUAUAUACUGUAUAUUAUUAUUAUAAGAUUUCCUUUUCAUGAUUCCAUCUUUAUAUGACAUGUAAACCAACA